rnacentral:rRNA from 1 species
AGGACGAACGCUGGCGGCGUGCUUAACACAUGCAAGUCGAGCGGUAAGGCCUUUCGGGGUACACGAGCGGCGAACGGGUGAGUAACACGUGGGUGAUCUGCCCUGCACUUCGGGAUAAGCCUGGGAAACUGGGUCUAAUACCGGAUAUGACCUCCUAUCGCAUGGUGGGUGGUGGAAAGAUUUAUCGGUGCAGGAUGGGCCCGCGGCCUAUCAGCUUGUUGGUGGGGUAAUGGCCUACCAAGGCGACGACGGGUAGCCGACCUGAGAGGGUGACCGGCCACACGUGGGACUGGAGA